UACGAAGGGGCUAGCGUUGCUCGGAAUCACUGGGCGUAAAGGGUGCGUAGGCGGGUCUUUAAGUCAGGGGUGAAAUCCUGGAGCUCAACUCCAGAACUGCCUUUGAUACUGAAGAUCUUGAGUUCGGGAGAGGUGAGUGGAACUGGCGAGUGUAGAGGUGAAAUUCGUAGAUAUUCGCAAGAACACCAGUGGCGAAGGCGGCUCACUGGCCCGAUACUGACGCUGAGGCACGAAAGCGUGGGGAGCAAGC
rnacentral:rRNA from 1 species